rnacentral:tRNA from 1 species
UGAGGCGUCGCCAAGUGGUAAGGCACCGGGUUUUGGUCUCGGCACCCAAGGUUCGAAUCCUUGCGCCUCAG